UACAGAGGGGGCGAGCGUUAUUCGGAAUUAUUGGGCGUAAAGGGCGCGUAGGCGGCUAGGCAAGUCCUGGGUGAAAUCCCUCGGCUCAACCGAGGAACUGCCUUGGAAACUGCCUGGCUCGAGGCCGGGAGAGGGUAGCGGAAUUCCCAGUGUAGCGGUGAAAUGCGUAGAUAUUGGGAGGAACACCAGUGGCGAAGGCGGCUACCUGGACCGGUUCUGACGCUGAGGCGCGAAAGCGUGGGGAGCAAACAGG
rnacentral:rRNA from 1 species